ensembl:lncRNA
AUAUAUAUAUAAAAAAUUCUAAAACUCCUUUUGCUAAGAAAUAACAUAAUGUUUGUAAGAGAAUUCUUCAAACUUCUUUUGCUAUGAAAUAACGAUCUUGUAAAAUAUUUGGCACCCUGUGGCUUGAGAUAGAAAUAGCACAGAAGAAAGUUUCUUGAAGUAUCUUAAUGUUUGCGCAUCAAGUAUGGCAUAAAUGUGUUUGCAUUAAAAACAUGAUUAUUAAAUCACAGUCCAGCUCCAUUAAUCCAUGGAGAUAUAAAAUAUUCACAAUUCUCUAUUAAUAAAAUUUAUUAUGAAUUUUUCCAUUGCUUUGAAUGGACCCAGAGUGUGCACUUAAUCCUUUUCUCACUUGUAUGGCUGGGUGGGUUAGUAACAAUAACCAAGAGGAGAGGAAAUUAAGGGCCAAGACUUGUUCACACAGGCGAAGUAGUGUGAGUGAACUAGGAUGUACAGUACAGUACCUCUGGAAAAGGCAGCCCUGCCCUCUUGCUCCUCCACUUCUCCCUGCCCUGUGCCAACAUCAACAAGUGCAUGGCCACAUGCUAAAGUGGAUCCAGAAACUAAUCUGAGUUGAAAGCAAACUGUCAAAUAAGAAAAGAGGCUUAUUUGGUUUUGGUUAGCAUAGUGACAGUGUUAGGCUAUUAUUGGCACGGAGGGAAAAUGAGGAUUCUUGCCCUUAGACACUGUUUUGAGGUGUCCCUACCCCUUGAUAGUAGGGAAAGUCUGGGCAUCAUAACUGGGUCAUUCUAGUUAGUGUUUUACCUCCCUUUUAUUUUCUUCCAAGUUCCUGCAACAUGUGCUGAAGACACGGCAGAGCACUUGGCUUUCAAAUUGUCACAAGGAAGGAGAGGUCAAGCUUGUUGGGAAAUUUCAAUGCGAGACAGAGCAAUCAGACAACAAACAAAAGCAGAAGUUUGGUUGUCAUGGAUGUAUUUUUAAUGCACGUUCCAGGAUCCUUGCUCGUCUGAAGGUGUGCAGGUGUGUAAGCAUGACUGUAACUUAUAUAACACAGGAGCUAUGUAGGCCCAAGGACUUUGCUUUUGGCAAAAGAAAAAAAAUCAACUCUCUCAGUUAGCAGUGUACAAUUUAGGCACAGAAAAUUCAUAGCAGAUGUUCUUUGCAAAGAUUUGGUUUGUUGGAUGAAGUAUAACUUUUGAAUACGUAUUUUUACAAAAUGCCCACCAGCACCUUCCCAAGGCAUUUGUUAACUGCUUGGGUAAAAAAGAACCCAGAUAUAUGUCAUAUAACUUCUUGUGCUUCUUUAAACAAUCUUAGUUCUAGGGCCUAGCUACUAAGAUGUUAGUUCUGAAUGAAACUCUCAGUCAGAAGUGAGGCACAUGUUUCUAAACUUCUCUGACUAUAACUGUAGUCAAUUUCUUAAUGAAACAGUAUUUUCAUAAAGUUUCAACAGUAUGUUGCAAAUGUAUGGAGUUUUUAUAUUGGAUAAUUUAUUGAAAAAAAAUUAUCUGAAAAAUGGAAAUAUUAUUUCCAGCUUGCUGAAGAAAAUUACGUAAAUCUUGCAGUAAAUAGCAUUAUGGAAACAUGGAAAAGAUUAUCUGUGGAAGUUCCAAACAUUUAAAAAUAUGAAGUAUAUGUUCUUAUCUAACAAAUGGGAUGCAUGAGAGACAAAGAGCUGAUAUGGCUGAGGUAAGGUCAUUUUUCAUAUGCCAUUUGAAGCCUGUGGGAAGCAAGACAUAAAUUGAAGGGGUACAUAUUUUAUUUUUUUGGAAUUCAGAAACCCAUUGACUUGAAGGUGUCCAAGUCCUUAUAAGACAUUUUAGAUCAAUUGAAAAACUAUUUAAUGGAUAUCUAUAAGAUAUGUUGCAUACUCUUGGGAAAUUUUUAAACUCCUUGGGAAGACAGAAUUUCCAGACACCAUUAGGAAACAGAUAGAAGUGACCAAUCCAUUAAUAGUACAGUCUAGCAAACUAUUCUUGUUUUCUGACUUGAGGCUUUGUCUUGUGGUCCUAAGCAAAGUGUACAUUCUCGCUUCUGUUAAUGUGAAAAUAGGAUGAAGCUUAGCACUUCCCAUCCUAUUUUUUUCUUUUUUUUUUCUUUUUUAAAAUCUUUUCAGAAUAGACUACUGCCCCUAAUUAUAACUGUCUGGUACCAGUUUGGAUUUUUUAGCAUGUCCCUUCUUUUACUUAAGGCUAGAUAUAUCUUAUAUGCCUUUUAUCAGGUUGUAAGCCCUGGUUUGAUGUGUCAGAUGCUCAGGGAUAUCUAAAAUUAUGCCAUAUGCCUACAUUCAAGCACUUAAUUCUUUUUGAUGUAUUUGGUGAUCUAGGACUAGAAGGAAAUUGUUAAUCAUAGCUCUGCAGAAACUGAAGACUUGGUCUUUGUAACAAUGGUCAGCAUUUUGAACCGUGUUUUCUAAAGCCCAAUAGUAGGAAUUGAAAGACACCAAAGAGAAUUUAACAGUCCUUCUUGUGUUUUGAGCUUAAGUUUUGAGUGGAACAGAACACAAACUAGAAAUGCAGUUAAAAAAAAAGCCAAACAUUUUUUCUCUAAUCUGACUGUUAAUAAAAAAGAAAAAAAGGAAGUCAUUUUCUUCCCUAGAAUCAAUAAUCUAUUAUUCUGAUGAAAAUUGUAUUCAGCUACCAGCCAGUUGCAAUAAUUGCGGAAUCUGCUAUGUAGUUUUCUACUAAUUAGUGAAUAAUACUCCAUAAAAGCAAUCGCGUGUGAACUCUUUCCUUUAAAAACAUAACCCUUGGGAGUUGACUUCCUUACUCUCCUUUGAAAAUUCCAUCCCUGGUAUUUAUUAUUAUAUUAGUAAGCAGCUAUUAUUCAGAAUUUGUUACUGGUUAAUUGCAUUAAUUGGAGAAGGCAGAUAGGGAGGAAGCCUCAUGACUGAUUAAUUACAGUAAAUAGUAUGCAUGUAUAGUUAAUGAUGGGGAUGCAGUGACUUCUGCAAGAAACUCCACUUAGUAGAUACAGAGGGUCCAGAAAUAGGUAUUUUCUUCUUCUGAAGACACAUACCCUGUUGGAAGAACUUCUCAUUUUUCACAUGGUUGCACUUGCAUUUUGUCUGAGGCUGUUCACUGUGAAAUCAUAGAAUCAUAGAAUGGUUUGGGUUGGAAAGGACCUUUGCAGAUAAUCUUAUGCCUCCUUCUCUGCCAAGGGCAGGGACGGCUUCCACAAAAUCAAGUUGCCCAGAGCCCCACCCAUUGUGGCUUUGAACACCUCCAGGGAUGGGUCAAUCCACAGCUUCUCUGGGCAACUUGUUCCAGUGCCUCUCCACACUCUGAGUAAGGAAUUUCUUCCUGAUGUCUAAUCUAAAUCUGUCCUCGUUGAGUUUAAGAUUGUUACCCCCCCUCACUAUCGCUACACUCCCUAAUAAAGAAUUCUUCCCCAUCUUUCAUGUAGGUUCUCUUUAAGUACUGGAAGGUUAGUAUAAGGUCUCCUGAGAGCCUUCUCUAGCAUGAACAACUCCAAUUCUCUCAGUCUGUCUUCAUUUAAGAGGCACUCUAGCCCUGUGAUAAUCUCUGUAUCUCUGUUCUGGAAGUGCUCAAACAGCUCCAUAUUUUUCUUGUGAGAAGAAAGAUCUGGGGUCCCAGCACUGCUCGUGGGUUCUCACAUAGAUUGUGAAUCCUGUCCCUCAAGCUGCUGCUCAUGCUUCUUUGGAUGCAGUCUAGAAUAGCACUGGCUUUCUAGGCUAUAAGUAUAUGUUGCCAGUCAUAUCCAAUUUUUCAUCUACCAACACCUCCAAGUCCCUCUCCUCAAGGUUACUCUCAAUCUUUCUAUUGCUGAGCAUGUGUUCAUGAUUGAGAUUGCCCCAACCCAUGUGUAGGACCUUGCACUUGGCCUCAGUGAACACCCUGAUAUUUGCUUGGACCUGCUCUCAAGGCUGUCCUGGGCCCUCUGGAUGGCAUCCCUUCCCUCCAUGUGAUGAUAACUCCACAGUCUUGCUGAGGAUAUAGUCAGUCUCACUGUCUAUGUCACUGACAAAGAUGUUAAAUAAUAUGCAUCUCAGUAUGGACCUCACUGGUCUGUCUGGACAUCAAACUGUUAAAAAAAAAAAAAAGCCCUACAUGACUGGGACAACAUGGCUUAUAAAUCCAUCAUUGCUCUGAGCUUGUCACAACAACUGAAAAUAUCAGACUUAUACUCAGAAUCUUGUUAGGUACAGAAUGAAACAGCAGUGUGUAUAUGACACAGACAUUUAUUGGAGUAAUGGCUUUUCUCUCCCUAAACAAAUACAAAUGCUUAGAACUACAAGGAAUUGAAGUAUGGCAAAUAAAUUCAGCCUGUUCAGGAGAACUUGAAAUGACUUAAAAAAAGGCUGCUGAGUUGCAAAUGACACAACAAAUGGGUGCAAGUUCACAUUACACACUUUCUGAAUAUGCUUCAAUGUUGUUGUUCCAAAUGCCUGCUUAGAUGUUUUUUUUGAUUGUUCUAGGCAAUUUAUCUUGGCUUAAGACUGUGAUCUAAGUGGAAAUGAUAAAAGAGACAUUGUCACAAUGGAGUCAGUGGCUCUGAGUCAUACCUCCUACAUAAUCAUUUCUCUCUUUUACUGGACCUGCUAAUAUUAAGGAUGCUUUUGAGUGUCUCUUCUCUGUUACUGAGAUAUUUACUGUGCCCUGUGGUAAGCAUUUUCAUGGAACAGAGAGUCUGAGUAAAUGGUCUCUCUAAAGGACUGAACUGUGGUGACUGGAGAUAACAUAUAAGUAAAGUAAUUUCUAUCUGCCAAUUGAAGUAUUCUUGCAACCC